UACGUAGGGGGCAAGCGUUGUCCGGAUUUAUUGGGCGUAAAGAGCGUGUAGGCGGCCAUGUAGGUCCGUUGUGAAAACUCGAGGCUCAACCUCGAGACGCCGAUGGAAACCAUGUGGCUAGAGUCCGGAAGAGGAGAGUGGAAUUCCUGGUGUAGCGGUGAAAUGCGCAGAUAUCAGGAAGAACACGCGUGGCUGAGGCGGCUCUCUAGUACGGGACUGACGCUGAGACGCGAAAGCGUGGGGAGCGAACAGG
rnacentral:rRNA from 1 species